CUUGCGGCCAUAUCUCGUUAACACACCAGUUCUCGUCCGAUCACUGAGGUUAAGUAACAUUGAGCCUAGUCAAUACCUAGAUGUGUGACCGCUUGGGAAUACCAGGUGUUGUAAG